rnacentral:lncRNA from 1 species
GUUUCGCCAAGACUGGGGCUUGGAAAGCUGUACAGAGCUGCAAUCUUGACGCGACUCCUAAAGGCUCCAGUGGCUUACCCUCUCCCUUUCCUUUUGCCCUGCAGAUGUUUGAUUCCUUGGGCAUGUCACAGUGAUGCUGUUACUGGGUGAUAUUGCUGUCCAAAUCUUGACACAGAAAGUGAGGUCCUUCACCUCAAAGAACCAUACUCACUGGAAAAGAAAAUCGGUGUCUUUUGUUGAGCUGGAUGAAGCGAGGUUGUUGAACUUAAAGUCCAAAGAGUCCCCUGUUUUUAUUUUAUUUCUAUCAAAGUAUUACCCAUAUCAAGUAACACUUCAAGACUUCAAAAUUGGGAGUUUUGAGAGUGAAGGGGACAAUAGAAACAAAAUUAUGCCAGACUGUCAAGGAUGAACUAGGACUGUCCCAGACAAACCCUACUAAUAAAAAAUAGAUCUUCUCCA